rnacentral:sRNA from 1 species
UCUGGCCUCCCAUCCGUGCUAUCUGUACCCUGUUGCUUCGGCGUGGCCACGGCCCGCCGAAGACUAACAUUUGAACACUGUCUGAAGUUUGCAGUCUGAGUUUUUAGUUAAACAAUAAUUAAAACUUUCAACAACGGAUCUCUUGGUUCCGGCAUCGAUGAAGAACGCAGCGAAAUGCGAUAAUUAAUGUGAAUUGCAGAAUUCAGUGAAUCAUCGAGUCUUUGAACGCACAUUGCGCCCCCUGGUAUUCCGGGGGGCAUGCCUGUCCGAGCGUCAUUGCUGCCCUCAAGCACGGCUUGUGUGUUGGGCUUCCGUCCCUGGUAACGGGGACGGGCCCAAAAGGCAGUGGCGGCACCAUGUCUGGUCCUCGAGCGUAUGGGGCUUUGUCACCCGCUCCCGUAGGUCCAGCUGGCAGCUAGCCUCGCAACCAAUCUUUUUAACCAGG